rnacentral:rRNA from 1 species
UACGGGGGGGGCAAGCGUUGUUCGGAAUUACUGGGCGUAAAGGGCUCGUAGGCGGCCAACUAAGUCGGACGUGAAAUCCCCAGGCUCAACCUGGGAACUGCGUCCGAUACUGGAUGGCUUGAAUCCGGGAGAGGGAUGCAGAAUUCCAGGUGUAGCGGUGAAAUGCGUAGAUAUCUGGAGGAAUACCGGUGGCGAAGGCGGCAUACUGGACCGGCAUUGACGCUGAGGAGCGAAAGCCAGGGGAGCAAACGGG